GAUGAACGCUGGCGGCGUGCCUAAUACAUGCAAGUCGAGCGAACAGACGAGGAGCUUGCUCCUCUGACGUUAGCGGCGGACGGGUGAGUAACACGUGGAUAACCUACCUAUAAGACUGGGAUAACUUCGGGAAACCGGAGCUAAUACCGGAUAAUAUAUUGAACCGCAUGGUUCAAUAGUGAAAGACGGUUUUGCUGUCACUUAUAGAUGGAUCCGCGCCGCAUUAGCUAGUUGGUAAGGUAACGGCUUACCAAGGCAACGAUGCGUAGCCGACCUGAGAGGGUGAUCGGCCACACUGGAACUGAGACACGGUCCAGACUCCUACGGGAGGCAGCAGUAGGGAAUCUUCCGCAAUGGGCGAAAGCCUGACGGAGCAACGCCGCGUGAGUAAUGAAGGUCUUCGGAUCGUAAAACUCUGUUAUUAGGGAAGAACAAAUGUGUAAGUAACUAUGCACGUCUUGACGGUACCUAAUCAGAAAGCCACGGCUAACUACGUG
rnacentral:rRNA from 1 species